UUCAUAUGAAAUGUAGUUGAACCUUGAGACGAUAAAUUUUCGUCUUCGCUAUCGUCAUCAGAAUCACUGUCUUCUUGUCUUCGAAGUUCUUCAUUCAAAUUUUUAUAUUCGGCCUUUACAAAAAUCAAAUAGGAAACAAUUAAGAAAAAAUAAAUAUAUUAUGAAAUAUUAAUAAAUGAUCACUCACCAUCAUAGUUUUUCCUCUAUCAUUUAACGGCGUAUGAGUUGACAAGAAUGUCUCUUGAAAUGACGGUUUUCGACCUAAUUUGAGACUCUAUACGAAAAAAACUAGUCAAAAUAAUUCAUAAAAUAUUUAAAUUGAAAUGAAUUUAAAAUAUAAACUUACUAAUGCAUGAGAGUUGGCUUCAAAAGAAGCCGAUCCACCCUUGUACACCAAAUAAUCGUCGUUUUUAGUUCGAUUUGCUGAAUUCUUUUUUGAUUUUUCUACGAACUCUGGUGUCAAAAACUUGUCC
rnacentral:lncRNA from 1 species